AAGUAGAUAAAAAUGGCUGAACUCCUAAAUUGGGAGGCGGCUUACGCCACCUGGCCAGUGCUUUUAAUUUCAAAGGUUCCAACGGGUUCUCGACCCUCGACCCAAAAGGCAGCUACUGGCAGGUUCCAGUGCAUUCAUCCGACUGCAGAAAACUGCUUUCAAGACACCGUGCACCGUGCCAAAUAAAUCACAGCAGACGACUUCUAUAAGAAGGUAGUUAUAACCUUUAAUAGUUCACCAUAUAAUCCAUGCUUUGCAUCACAAUUUGUAAGUGUAAAACUUGCAAGGCUGGUCUACAGGCAAACAACUCAGAGAGGAGAUACUUCGCGACCCUUCCAGCUUUCUAAAAACAACCAUUCUCGAUGUCCGGCAUGCAAAGUCAUACACUCGUUUAUUGAGGAAUCGUUUUAGUAAAAAACUAAACAAAAACAAAAAA